UACGUAGGGGGCUAGCGUUGUCCGGAAUCAUUGGGCGUAAAGCGCGUGUAGGCGGUUCGGUAAGUCCGCUGUGAAAGUCGGGGGCUCAACCCUCGGAUGCCGGUGGAUACUGUCGGACUAGAGUACGGAAGAGGCGAGUGGAAUUCCUGGUGUAGCGGUGAAAUGCGCAGAUAUCAGGAGGAACACCGAUUGCGAAGGCAGCUCGCUGGGACGUCACUGACGCUGAGACGCGAAAGCGUGGGGAGCAAACAGG
rnacentral:rRNA from 1 species